GACGAACGCUGGCGGCACGCUUAACACAUGCAAGUCGAACGAGAGAAGAGGAGCUUGCUUUUCUGAUCUAGUGGCGGACGGGUGAGUAACACGUGAGCAAUCUGCCUUUCAGAGGGGGAUACCGAUUGGAAACGAUCGUUAAUACCGCAUAACAUAAUUGAACCGCAUGAUUUGAUUAUCAAAGAUUUAUCGCUGAAAGAUGAGCUCGCGUCUGAUUAGCUAGUUGGUAAGGUAACGGCUUACCAAGGCGACGAUCAGUAGCCGGACUGAGAGGUUGAUCGGCCACAUUGGGACUGAGACACGGCCCAGACUCCUACGGGAGGCAGCAGUGGGGAAUAUUGCACAAUGGAGGAAACUCUGAUGCAGCGAUGCCGCGUGAGGGAAGAAGGUUUUAGGAUUGUAAACCUCUGUCUUCAGGGACGAAAAAAGACGGUACCUGAGGAGGAAGCUCCGGCUAACUACGUGCCAGCAGCCGCGGUAAUACGUAGGGAGCGAGCGUUGUCCGGAAUUACUGGGUGUAAAGGGAGCGUAGGCGGGAUCGCAAGUCAGAUGUGAAAACUAUGGGCUUAACCCAUAAACUGCAUUUGAAACUGUGGUUCUUGAGUGAAGUAGAGGUAAGCGGAAUUCCUAGUGUAGCGGUGAAAUGCGUAGAUAUUAGGAGGAACAUCAGUGGCGAAGGCGGCUUACUGGGCUUUAACUGACGCUGAGGCUCGAAAGCGUGGGGAGCAAACAGGAUUAGAUACCCUGGUAGUCCACGCCGUAAACGAUGAUUACUAGGUGUGGGGGGACUGACCCCUUCCGUGCCGCAGCAAACGCAAUAAGUAAUCCACCUGGGGAGUACGACCGCAAGGUUGAAACUCAAAGGAAUUGACGGGGGCCCGCACAAGCAGUGGAGUAUGUGGAUUAAUUCGAAGCAACGCGAAGAACCUUACCAGGUCUUGACAUCGUAUGCAUAGCUCAGAGAUGAGUGAAAUCUCUUCGGAGACAUAUAGACAGGUGGUGCAUGGUUGUCGUCAGCUCGUGUCGUGAGAUGUUGGGUUAAGUCCCGCAACGAGCGCAACCCUUACUGUUAGUUGCUACGCAAGAGCACUCUAGCAGGACUGCCGUUGACAAAACGGAGGAAGGUGGGGAUGACGUCAAAUCAUCAUGCCCCUUAUGACCUGGGCCUCACACGUACUACAAUGGCUGUCAACAGAGGGAAGCAAAGCCGCGAGGUGGAGCGAACCCCUAAAAGCAGUCUUAGUUCGGAUUGUAGGCUGCAACCCGCCUACAUGAAGUCGGAAUUGCUAGUAAUCGCAGAUCAGCAUGCUGCGGUGAAUACGUUCCCGGGCCUUGUACACACCGCCCGUCACGCCAUGGGAGUCGGUAACACCCGAAGCCUGUAGUCUAACCGCAAGGAGGACGCAGUCGAAGGUGGGAUUGAUGA
rnacentral:rRNA from 1 species